rnacentral:rRNA from 1 species
UACGUAGGGGGCAAGCGUUGUCCGGAAUUAUUGGGCGUAAAGCGCGUGUAGGCGGCUUUGCAAGUCGGGUGUGAAAGCCCUCGGCUUAACCGAGGAAGUGCGCCCGAAACUGCAGAGCUUGAGUACCGGAGAGGAUGGCGGAAUUCCCCAAGUAGAGGUGAAAUUCGUAGAUAUGGGGAGGAACACCGGUGGCGAAGGCGGCCAUCUGGACGGAUACUGACGCUGAGACGCGAAAGCGUGGGGAGCAAACAGG